rnacentral:rRNA from 1 species
GACGAACGCUGGCGGCGUGCUUAAUACAUGCAAGUCGAGCGAGGCCCAUCCGGUGGCAACACCGGGGAAGGCCGAGCGGCGAACGGGUGAGUAACACGUGAGCAACCUGCCCCGAAGUCUGGAAUAACAUCGGGAAACCGGUGCUAAUACCGGAUCGCCCCACUGACCGCAUGAUCGGGUGAGGAAAGAUUUAUCGCUUCGGGGAGGGCUCGCGGCCUAUCAGCUAGUU